GUGCAUUGAAAUGCCCGUCCGGUUUGACAGCGGCUGUUUGCAGAGAUUAUGAAGUGGUCCUGGUAUCAUUUGGGCAGAAAUGCUAAAGAGAUAGGAAUUGGGGAUAGGGUCAAAGUGGCGAGAUCUUGGCCCUUGAUCUGAACAAAUUAAUAUUUAAUUGUUAAUGUGAUAUUAAUCUAGGAUUACAAUUCAAAUUUUAAUUUAAAUCAAAAUAAUUAAUUAAUUUUAAUCACAUAUUUCAAAUACACAUUUUAUCAAUUUUUAAUCUAUAAAGCAUUCGAUUUUAAUCUCCAGCAAACAGAUUCUAGAUAAAAAGUAACUUUUAAAAAAUAUGCUUAACAAAUUAUGUAAUUUAAAAAAGAAAAAUUGAACUUAGUCAGCUAACCACAGUGAAUGGUAGGUAGAUGUUUCUAGAACGAGUCUACUAAAAAUUAGGACUGAACAACGAAAUUGUUAAAUCGUCAAAUUGAAAAAAAAAAUCGCUUUUUCAAAAUCGUUAGUUUAGUCCUUGUAGAUUCG
rnacentral:lncRNA from 1 species